rnacentral:rRNA from 1 species
AUUGAACGCUGGCGGCAGGCUUAACACAUGCAAGUCGAGCGGAGAGAAGUAGCUUGCUACUGAUCUUAGCGGCGGACGGGUGAGUAAUGCUUAGGAAUCUGCCUGUUAGUGGGGGACAACAUUCCGAAAGGGAUGCUAAUACCGCAUACGACCUACGAGGGAAAGCAGGGGAUCUUCGGACCUUGCGCUAAUAGAUGAGCCUAAGUCGGAUUAGCUAGUUGGUGGGGUAAAGGCCUACCAAGGCGACGAUCUGUAGCGGGUCUGAGAGGAUGAUCCGCCACACUGGGACUGAGACACGGCCCAGACUCCUACGGGAGGCAGCAGUGGGGAAUAUUGGACAAUGGGCGGAAGCCUGAUCCAGCCAUGCCGCGUGUGUGAAGAAGGCCUUUUGGUUGUAAAGCACUUUAAGCGAGGAGGAGGCUCUUAAGGUUAAUACCCUUGAUGAGUGGACGUUACUCGCAGAAUAAGCACCGGCUAACUCUGUGCCAGCCGCCGCCGUAAUAC